UCACUCCGCAAUCUCCAUAUCAAACCCAAAUGAAGGAUAUCGAACCCACCAUAUCAGCUCCACCAGUCAAUUCCACAGCUUUCAGCUGAACUCGACAUAGCUCGAUCAGGGACAAGACCUCCGCGCGGACCUGCAGAUACAGCUCCCUCGUCGGAACGAGAAUGAACGCGCUCGGCGCAACUUUGCUCUUCGACCCGGAAUUGCCGAACAGCUUCUGGAGCAGAGGAAGAAGGUAAGCGAAAGUCUUCCCGGAGCCGGUCUUCGCCCUCGCGACAACAUCCUUACCCUCCUAUAACCGCCAAAAGAAAAAGAAAGAAGACGCGCGUUAAAUCAACGUUCAAGCAAA